rnacentral:rRNA from 1 species
UUUUCGGACAAUGGAAGAGGGCGUUUAGUGGCGGACGGGUGAGUAACGCGUGAGCAAUCUACCUUUCAGAGGGGGACAACAGUUGGAAACGACUGCUAAUACCGCAUAACGUAUCUUUGCGGCAUCGUAGAGAUACCAAAGAUUUAUCGCUGAGAGAUGAGCUCGCGUCCAAUUAGCUAGAUGGCGGGGUAAAGGCCCACCAUGGCGACGAUUGGUAGCCGGACUGAGAGGUUGAACGGCCACAUUGGGACUGAGACACGGCCCAGACUCC